UCCGUUCCCUGUCCUCGUGCAGAUGAGCACUGACCAGAGCGAGCUGCUGCUCCAACGUCACUGUUUGUGGCGUCGGCCUUUCCGGUGGGUAACCUGCACUGGGCACGAGCAGCUGAUCACAAAUGGAGAACGACGCCUGCACAGUCCAUUUGCACAAACCUGAAUUGGACUUGCUCAACAUUCUCCCACAGGAGAAUGUGUCUCUGUGUUCUCCACAUCUAGAGCUCACUCAGUUGCCUUGGCUCAGGGUCCCUUCCUCCAUCUUUAAAGCCAGCAGAGCAGGUCUCCCCUUUGGAUACCCCCUAUUCCACGCCCUCUCCCUGCCUCUAUAAUGCCCCCACCCACCCACCUACCCACCCACUCCCAUUUCCCUACACUGGACACCCUCAGGGCCAAGGGCCUCACCUCCCACUGAUGUCCAACAAGGCCAUUCUCUGCCACAAAUGGGUCACUCCAUGUGUAUUCUUUGGUUGGUGGUCCAGUCCCCAGGAGCUCUGGGGAUAUUUUAAACAUAAAACUAAUAUUUUAUGAUAUAGGAACUCUCACUUUGAAUACUUUACUAUUUAUGAAAAUAUGCAUCAGAAAUUAAAAGACUUUUAACUUAGCUCAUGAAGCAUCCAUUUUGCAAGAGAGGAUCUGUUCUGGAUUCUUUCCACUGAAUAUAUCUCCAUCUUUUUACUUACUGCUUUUUCU